rnacentral:rRNA from 1 species
UACGUAGGGUGCAAGCGUUAUCCGGAAUUAUUGGGCGUAAAGAGCUCGUAGGCGGUUUGUCGCGUCUGCUGUGAAAACCGGAGGCUCAACCUCCGGCCUGCAGUGGGUACGGGCAAACUAGAGUGCGGUAGGGGAGAUUGGAAUUCCUGGUGUAGCGGUGGAAUGCGCAGAUAUCAGGAGGAACACCGAUGGCGAAGGCAGAUCUCUGGGCCGUAACUGACGCUGAGGAGCGAAAGCGUGGGGAGCGAAC